rnacentral:rRNA from 1 species
CCUACGGGAGGCAGCAGUAGGGAAUCUUCCACAAUGGGCGAAAGCCUGAUGGAGCAACGCCGCGUGGGUGAAGAAGGUCUUCGGAUCGUAAAACCCUGUUGUUAGAGAAGAAAGUGCGUGAGAGUAACUGUUCACGUUUCGACGAUAUCUAACCAGAAAGCCACGGCUAACUACGGCCCAGCCGCCGCGGUAAUACGUAGGUGGCAAGCGUUAUCCGGAUUUAUUGGGCGUAAAGGGCACGCGGGCGGUCUUUUAAAUCUGAUGUUAAAGUCGUCGGGUUAAACGGAGUAGUGCAUUGGAAACUGGGAGACUUGAGUGCAGAAGAGGAGAGUGGAACGCCAUGUGUAGCGGUGAAAUGCGUAGAUAUAUGGAAGAACACCAGUGGCGAAAGCGGCUCACUGGUCUGUGACUGACGCUGAGGUUCGAAAGCGUGGGUAGCAAACAGGAUUAGAUACCCCUGUAGUC